AAGUUUUAUUUAUUAUUUUUAACUGAUGUAGGCGCAGUUUUAAUCUGCAAAGGUCUUAUUAUUAUUCCUGCUGGGCUAUUGUGUAGAUAGAUGGAUGGAAAGCUUUAUAGAGGGGGGAGGAGGGGGAGACCUGUGAGGGCGAAGCGAGUAGAUAAGGCUUAUUUGCUGCUGCUGCUGGUGGUGGUGCUGCUGCUGCUGUCUAUAGCCCAUUGUUGUUUUUUUAAAUCAGAAACUAGAGGUCUUGUCGUUUGUGUUACAGACCUAAAAAAACAUCCGACAUCGCACCCCUCCUGCAGAAGCUACCGAGAGGACGGUAGCAUGAUAGAAAUAGUGGAGGGGAAUCGGCAGGAAGAGGGCCCGUUUCUGCAUUUCCCUGCGCCUGCACCGAGUUCACCGAGUCGGUAUAACCAGCGUCCGACAUGGGGAAGGAGGUAAACGGUGUUUCGCGGAGCCGGUUUGAGAUGUUCACAAACAGUGACGAGGCAGUCAUCAAUAAGAAGUUACCUAAGGAGCUGUUGCUACGAAUCUUCUCCUUUCUGGAUGUGGUGACACUCUGUCGCUGUGCCCAGGUCUCACGGUCCUGGAAUGUUCUGGCUUUGGAUGGCAGCAACUGGCAACGAAUCGACCUCUUUGACUUUCAGAGGGACAUUGAGGGCCGCGUGGUGGAGAACAUCUCAAAGCGAUGUGGGGGAUUCCUUAGAAAAUUGAGCCUGCGGGGGUGCCUUGGUGUGGGUGACAGCGCCCUGAGGACUUUCUCCCAGAACUGCAGGAACAUUGAGCUGCUUAGUUUGAAUGGCUGCACCAAGAUCACUGACAGCACGUGUAAUAGCCUCAGCAAGUUCUGUCCAAAGUUGAAGCACCUGGACCUCGCUUCCUGUACCUCAAUCACCAACUUGUCUCUCAAAGCUCUCAGUGAGGGCUGUCCUCUGCUGGAGCAGCUUAACAUCUCCUGGUGUGAUCAGGUCACCAAGGAUGGCAUCCAAGCCCUGGUUCGUUCCUGCCCUGGACUCAAAGGCCUUUUUCUCAAGGGUUGCACACUGCUAGAAGAUGAGGCUCUGAAGCAUAUCGGGGCCAACUGUCCAGAGCUGGUCACACUCAACUUGCAGACAUGUCCACAGAUCACAGAUGAAGGCCUCAUCACAAUUUGCCGGGGUUGUCACCGCCUGCAGUCUUUGUGUGUGUCGGGUUGUGCCAACAUCACAGACGCCAUCUUGCACGCCCUAGGACAGAAUUGCCCUCGCCUCAGAAUAUUAGAAGUGGCUCGCUGCUCUCAGCUUACAGACGUGGGUUUCACUACAUUAGCGAGGAAUUGUCAUGAACUUGAGAAGAUGGAUUUAGAAGAAUGUGUGCAGAUCACAGAUGGAACGCUCAUCCAGCUGUCUAUCUACUGCCCUCGUUUGCAAGUUCUGAGUUUGUCUCACUGCGAGCUGAUCACAGACGACGGCAUCAGACACCUCGGCAGCGGCCCCUGUGCUCACGACCGACUGGAAGUGAUCGAGCUGGAUAACUGCCCCCUGAUCACAGACGCCUCACUGGAGCACCUGAAGAGCUGCCAUAGUCUGGAUCGCAUCGAGCUCUACGACUGCCAGCAGAUCACCCGCGCCGGCAUCAAGAGACUAAGGACCCAUCUGCCUAACAUCAAAGUGCAUGCGUACUUCGCUCCCGUCACUCCACCUCCCUCUGUCGGGGGCAGCCGUCAGAGGUUUUGCCGCUGCUGUGUCCUGCUAUGAUGUAAAGACAACAACCCCCUUCCCUGUCCCCGAGUCCCUCGUACACGCUCCCCGCAGCCCGUCACUUGACCCCCCGACCUGCUGUCCCCCUCCCGGCCCCCUGUCAAAGAGUACAUGCUGGUGUGUCCCCCCUUUUUGGAGCUGCAGAGAGAGGGAGAGAGCCAAAAAAACGCUACAGGGUCUUGGGUAACUUUCCCCCAAAACAUUCCCGAAUCUCCCCAUCACACACACACACACACACACACACACACACGCACAUGCACAGACACACGAGCUGAUAUGCAGACAGACUCACACACACAGAUUAACUCUUAGAGAGGAAUGUCAGAACAUUCCUGGCCUGCGUUCAACGGACAAACCAGUAUUACAAAGAGAGUAAAUACGAUCAUGACUGUUAACAGGUUUAACAGAGAAUAAUGAGGCAAGAUCUUAAAAUCACAAACCAUUGUUCUGUAUUUGCGAGCAGACGCUCUUUACUUAUUUAGCACUUUGAGACAGAUUUGAGUGACAGCCUCUAACAAAAAAAAAUUGAAUAGGCUCAAAAGAUCCCUCUUAAUCUCACACACACACACACACAGACACACACACUUCCACACUUCCCUCGGUGUUGAAGGUUACUUAACAGCUACCUCUAGAUAGAACUGCACUUGAGUAUGACCUGUGUUAGCUUUGUUCUGCAGGCUCUCCGGUCCAAAUAGAUGUUUAUUACAAAAAGGGGAAGCGUUGCAGCCGGUAAACCACCAACACUCCUCUUACUCAUACAUAGAAAGCAGGAGAAAGCCUAUUUGUUGAAUUUUAAAAAAGAAAAAAGAAAAAAACAUAUUUGCAGCCAUUUGCACUUACAGUAAAGCAAUGAUGAGACACUUUACAAAGACAGGAAUUUCCGAAUUUUACUAACAAAAACACAUUCAAAUCCAAAUCAUCACUCACAUGCAUACACUGAGCUUGCUACCACUGUACCCUCGCCUCUCUCUGUCUCUGUUACAAUCAGAAGCUUCAAUAUACUGAAGAAGAAGAAGAAAAAAAAAAAGACAAAGUUUAAUAUUUUUCUAAAAAUGGACACCAAUUAAGACUCACAAGUGGGGACUAAAGAAGAUGCCAAAUGUUGCAUGUAACACCUCUAGUUUUUUAAAAGAUCUAAUUGUACAUAAGUGAGGAAUGUGGGAGUUCGAGAGUGGAAGCCAGCUAAACAACAGAUAGGAGAGGAUAUGAGAUGGGGCGGUGACCACUGUCAGUGGAUCUCCCCGAGGAAAUUACGGUGAAGCUCGCACAUACUUGUCUGAUGUGUGAGAACAUGUGCUGGAACUUUGGAGAGUAAAAAAAAAAAGAGCCAGUACUCAAUGUGGAAGAAUUGAUGCUGGUCUGCGAAAGAUCAUUUCAACAACAGAAAAGUAUAAAGACAUUCUUUUGACGGAAGGAAAAAAACAAAUAAAACAAACGUCGGACAUCACUACAUGAAUUCAUGCGUUCAGACCAGGACAUUGGAAAGAAAAAGCCAACUGAAAACAAUCAAAGUACGUCUAUUUUCAGUUAGUUUGAUUUCAUUUUAGUAGCUCUUUGUUUUCGCAAUCGGCGCCGGUUCUGGUGACGAAAAACUGGUGAGUGUUGAGAGGACAUCGAGGUGGCUUCGGUGACUCCUCAACUCCCAUGAGGCCUUGCAGAGGAUGGAGUAACGGCGUGUUACACCCUGCCACCUGUGACCCCCUCCCAUCUGUCUGGGAACAGUGACGCUGCCAGAGGUUAAGACCGGAUCAGACCAGUGGAGUCACUGCGAGAGGAAGUCGAAUGAAUCUUGAGCGCACAAUUCUGGCCUGCUCAGAGCAGGCAGAUAUGAUGGAAUGAUUCUGUCACAACGGAGGGCUAUAACAGACUUCAACCCCCCCUCCCCUCCCCUCCUACCCCUCCCGCCCUUAUGAAGUAUUGAAGCCUUUUCUUAUGGAUUAUCUUCUCCUGCACUCGCACCUGCUUUAUUCUGCGUCUCUUUUGUUCCCAUUUCAUUUUAUAAUUGUCUUUUACUGCAUUUCUUUUCUCUUUGACAUGAUUUCCUCUGGAUCUCGACCUUUUUUUUUCUCUUUCUCUCUCUCUCACUCUCUCUAUUUUUCUUUGCAUUUCUGUUUUGGUUUGGUAUGGAUUGCGCCUGCGUUGUGUUUGAAGUCAUGAGUUCAGUGUCUCCAAGUUGAGUUUGAGCCCUCUUCCAGUCCUCAGUUGUUUUUUUUUGAUCUGAUGGAGUUUGUGUUAUUAUUAAGAGUUUAUUGUCACUAAAUGUUGAGAGUGUAGCCUUUUGUCCGGGGAGGAAGUUUUGGCACCAGUGCAAUUAUGAUAAAUGUUAAAUGUGAGUUGGGGUUUUUUUUAUGAGUUAAGGAGGAGUUCAUGAUGACAUGUAUGUAUGAUGUAGGUUUUACUUAUUGAAUGUUUCCAUCAAGAAGAAGUGUGCUUUCCUCUCUUUUUCUUAAUUUGUAUGCCUUGCUUUUCCAAAUCCCCCCCCCCCCCUCCCUUUCCCUCCCCCCUCCCAUAUUGCACCCUGCCCCAUCACUUCAAACAAGACAGAUAUUGGUAAACCCAUUUUCAAAAAUUGAUAAAUCUCAAAUGUCCCCAUUCCUGGUUUAAGAUGCCCACUAUCAGGCAAAAUACUGAAUGAUGAUUUUUAUUCAGUUUGUGAUUUGACAACUACGCUGACUUGAGGAAAAAGGAAAAGUCGUAGGAUUUAGAAAACAAGCCUGGUCGUAACACCUGCUUGCCCUCUUCAUGCACUGUAUGUGGUACAGGCUGAGUCAUCAGUGCUAACAAUACUCUGAAUGGAUUAUAGGUAAUAGUGCUCAACCGGCUCCUGAAGGUUUGUGUACAAAAGAAAUAACCUGUCAUCAGUCUUUUCACGGCGCAAAAUACACUACAGGCUUCGCAAAACAAAACACCGGACUCGUUUUUUUUCCCUCACAGUAUCAAACACUUUGUGUCCUUCUGUCAGACCUUCCACCAGUUUACAUGGAGGACGAGCUACUUUGCUGUGGAUCAGUUUGUUUCAUGCACGUUCUGUCCCAAACACUGGAGUAAGGAUGAGGAUUAGGAUAGAGGGCAAGAGGUGAAUCUACAGUGUGUGUUCAUGGUAGAUUGACACAGGAGACAUUUCAAAAACAUAUUUGACAAUGACUGUAGUUCAUAUAAUUACUGUAAAUCUUUUCCUUUUUUUUCUUUUUUUCUUUCUUUUUUCUUUUUUUUGUACAAUUAACCGAUAUAAAUGAAAAUGUACGUAUGAAUAAAUAUAUACCUAUAUUAUUAA